rnacentral:rRNA from 1 species
UACGAAGGGGGCUAGCGUUGCUCGGAAUCACUGGGCGUAAAGGGUGCGUAGGCGGGUUUUAAGUCAGAGGUGAAAUCCUGGAGCUCAACUCCAGAACUGCCUUUGAUACUGAGAAUCUUGAGUACGGGAGAGGUGAGUGGAACUGCGAGUGUAGAGGUGAAAUUCGUAGAUAUUCGCAAGAACACCAGUGGCGAAGGCGGCUCACUGGCCCGUUACUGACGCUGAGGCACGAAAGCGUGGGGAGCAAACAGG